AUGAGUCCAUGCGUCUUUUCAAUCAUGGUGAUUUUGUGGCCGGUAAUGGCUGUGGAGAUGUCCACCUUGGAGGGCCAGCAGAUCCUCCAAGCCUUGCACUGUCCACCCUGUGAUCGCAUCCAUUGUUCCCCUCGUCAAGCGCUGAAGCUCCAGUGUCAGGGUGGAAUCACCACUGGGAUCUGCGGUUGUUGUCCAGCCUGUGCCAAACUUGCGGGAGAGAGCUGUGGAGGCACCUGGGACUACCUGGGGAAAUGCGAUGAAGGGCUGGUUUGCAUUUACCCAGAAGAAACUGAUGGAAAACCAGAGGCAGAACGCAAGGGAACCUGCAAAUCAGUGCUGGAGGUUCUCAAAGCCGACACUUGCAGACCUGAGUGCACAUGGGAGUUCUGCAAGGCAAAUCCCAAUGAAAUAUGCUCAGCCAGGUCUGUAUCGCUGGAGAAGCGUGAGUGUGGAGGUCACUGCCAGCACACAACCUGCUCCAGCUGCUUGGUUCUCGAACCUCCAUCUUGUCCUCAGUCUUGUUCUCCAACAGAUCACGUGUGUCUGCAUCGCUUCGGCAGGUGUGUGCGAGGACACCUAACCCAAGAAAAACAACCACCCAUCUGCAACCAGAACCUACAGAAUAACUCUGAGGGAUUCUUUGUGUGUUUGGCCCCUACCUGUCCAACUGCAGCCAACUGA
ensembl:lncRNA